rnacentral:rRNA from 1 species
GCGCGAAAACUUCGCAAUGUGGGAAACCACGACGAGGGAAUCCCAAGUGCCAACGAUUUUUCGUUGGCUGUUGCCCUGUCUAAAAAACAGGGAGAGUAAGGGCUGGGUAAGACGGGUGCCAGCCGCCGCGGUAAUACCCGCGGCCCAAGUGGUGCUCGUUAUUAUUGGGUUUAAAACGUCCGUAGCCGGUCCGGUAAAUUCUUGGGUAAAUCGACUGGCCUAACCAGUCGAAUUCCGGGGAGACUGCCGGACUCGGGACCGGGGGAGGUCGGAGGUACUUCCAGGGUAGGGGUGAAAUCCUGUAAUCCUGGGGGGACCACCAGUGGCGAAGGCGUCCGACCAGAACGGCUCCGACGGUAAGGGACGAAGCCCUGGGGCGCAAACGGGAUUAGAUACCCCGGUAGUCCAGGGUGUAAACGCUGCGGGCUUGGUGUCGGGGGUCCUAUGAGGGCGCUCGGUGCCGGAGUGAAAAUGUUAAGCCUGCUACCUGGGGAGUACGGUCGCAAGACUGAAACUUAAAGGAAUUGGCGGGGGA